rnacentral:rRNA from 1 species
GAGCGGUAACAGGUCCAGCUUGCUGGAUGCUGACGAGCGGCGGACGGGUGAGUAAUGCAUAGGAAUCUGCCCGGUAGUGGGGGAUAACCUGGGGAAACCCAGGCUAAUACCGCAUACGCCCUACGGGGGAAAGCAGGGGCUCUUCGGACCUUGCGCUAUCGGAUGAGCCUAUGUCGGAUUAGCUAGUUGGUAGGGUAAAGGCCUACCAAGGCGACGAUCCGUAGCUGGUCUGAGAGGAUGAUCAGCCACAUCGGGACUGAGACACGGCCCGAACUCCUACGGGAGGCAGCAGUGGGGAAUAUUGGACAAUGGGGGCAACCCUGAUCCAGCCAUGCCGCGUGUGUGAAGAAGGCCUUCGGGUUGUAAAGCACUUUCAGCGAGGAAGAAGGCCUGGUGGCCAAUACCCACCAGGAAGGACAUCACUCGCAGAAGAAGCACCGGCUAACUCCGUGCCAGCAGCCGCGGUAAUACGGAGGGUGCGAGCGUUAAUCGGAAUUACUGGGCGUAAAGCGCGCGUAGGUGGCUUGAUAAGCCGGUUGUGAAAGCCCUGGGCUCAACCUGGGAACGGCAUCCGGAACUGUCAGGCUAGAGUGCAGGAGAGGAAGGUAGAAUUCCCGGUGUAGCGGUGAAAUGCGUAGAGAUCGGGAGGAAUACCAGUGGCGAAGGCGGCCUUCUGGACUGACACUGACACUGAGGUGC